rnacentral:rRNA from 1 species
GUGGGGAAUCUUGCGCAAUGGGCGAAAGCCUGACGCAGCCAUGCCGCGUGAAUGAUGAAGGUCUUAGGAUUGUAAAAUUCUUUCACCGGGGACGAUAAUGACGGUACCCGGAGAAGAAGCCCCGGCUAACUUCGUGCCAGCAGCCGCGGUAAUACGAAGGGGGCUAGCGUUGCUCGGAAUUACUGGGCGUAAAGGGCGCGUAGGCGGACAGUUUAGUCAGAGGUGAAAGCCCAGGGCUCAACCUUGGAAUUGCCUUUGAUACUGGCUGUCUUGAGUACGGGAGAGGUGAGGGGAACUCCGAGUGUAGAGGUGAAAUUCUUAGAUAUUCGGAAGAACACCAGUGGCGAAGGCGACUCACUGGCCCGUUACUGACGCUGAGGCGCGAAAGCGUGGGGAGCAAACAGGAUUAGAAACCCUGGUAGUCC